AUAGCCCGGAGAUGGAUUCUGAGACACGAAUCCAGACCCUACGGGGUGCAGCAGGCGCGAAAACUUGGCAAUGCGAGAAAUCGUGACCAGGGAACUCCAAGUGCAUCGGGUAAGACCGGUGCUUUUCUUGACUCUAAAUAGGUCUUGGAAUAAGGGGUGGGUAAGGACGGUGCCAGCCGCCGCGGUAAUACCGGCGCCUCAAGUGGUAGUCGCUUUUAUUGGGCCUAAAACGUCCGUAGCCGGUCUGAUACAUUCGUGGGUAAAUCAACCAGCUCAACUGGUUGAAUUCUGCGAGGACGGUCAGACUUGGGACCGGGAGAGGUGUGGGGUACGCUCAGGGUAGGGGUAAAAUCCUGUCAUCCUGAGCGGACCACCUGUUGCGAAGGCGCCACACUAGAACGGAUCCGACGGUCAGGGACGAAGCCUAGGGGCACGAACCGGAUUAGAUACCCGGGUAGUCCUAGGUGUAAACGCUGUGGACUUGAUGUUGGGGGUGCUCCGAGCACUCUCAGUGUCGAAGCGAAGGUGAUAAGUCCACUGCCUGGGAAGUACGGUCGCAAGGCUGAAACUUAAAGGAAUUGGCGGGGGAGCACCGCAACCUGAGGAUUGUGCGGUUUAAUUGGACUCAACGCCGGGA
rnacentral:rRNA from 1 species